GGGAAAUUAGUUCAAAUGGUGGAGUGCUCGCUUAGCAUGUGAGAGGUAGCGGGGAUCGAUGCCCGCGUUCUCCA